rnacentral:rRNA from 1 species
GACGAACGCUGGCGGCGUGCCUAAUACAUGCAAGUAGAACGCUGAAGGAGGAGCUUGCUUCUCUGGAUGAGUUGCGAACGGGUGAGUAACGCGUAGGUAACCUGCCUGGUAGCGGGGGAUAACUAUUGGAAACGAUAGCUAAUACCGCAUAAGAGUAGAUGUCGCAUGACAUUUGCUUAAAAGGUGCAAUUGCAUCACUACCAGAUGGACCUGCGUUGUAUUAGCUAGUUGGUGAGGUAACGGCUCACCAAGGCAACGAUACAUAGCCGACCUGAGAGGGUGAUCGGCCACACUGGGACUGAGACACGGCCCAGACUCCUACGGGAGGCAGCAGUAGGGAAUCUUCGGCAAUGGACGGAAGUCUGACCGAGCAACGCCGCGUGAGUGAAGAAGGUUUUCGGAUCGUAAAGCUCUGUUGUAAGAGAAGAGCGAGUAUGAGAGUGGAAAGUUCACACUGUGACGGUAUCUUACCAGAAAGGGACGGCUAACUACGUG